AAAACUCCCUUUUGUAAAGGUAUAUGGAUGUAUUUAUAAGUGAAUACAAAGGUUAUGGUUUUUGUUGGGCGGGAAUCUGGAGUUUCAGAUUUUUGAACAUUGGUCAAGAAACGCAUUCAAACUUGAACGUUGGAAAUUUGGACGAUAUUGACAAUCUUCACGUGAUUGAGACAGACGAACGAAAAUAGAGACAAAAAUCAAGCAUGAGAAGAGAAACGACAACUUCUGUACAUGGUUGAUAAACUUUUCUUUUGCUGAAAAUGGGAGGAGGCGUGGGAAUGAGCUGUUGUGCUGAGAAUUUUG
rnacentral:lncRNA from 1 species